GAUGGAGCAAGAUUCAUCAUGGUGUUGUGCAAGCACCAGAGUGUUGUAAUUAUCUUUGGAAAAAUUAAUCAGAGUGCCAUGAGAAUGAGUGUCAUUCAGGAAACAACUGAGAAGCACCAAAUCCAUCACUGAUCAAUUAUGAUUCCAAGUUGAAGAAGGCAUAGCUAACAGUUCAGUUGGAGAGAAAGUUGUAGUAUUGGUUGCUUUCAACUGCGAACGUUGUAGAUGUAUGAGACUAAUGGGGACAGGGUACAUGAGUUGUGGUCGUAUGACUUCCCCUUAUGUCCUUUUGUCGCACAUUUUAGUCUCAGAAGUUUCAACAUGACAAACUUCGUAAGAAGCACGUCAUUUUUGCAACGACUUUUUGUGUGUAACUGAAUUAACUAUAUGGAACUUUCAUAAGAGCAUGACUUAGUUGCUAUU
rnacentral:lncRNA from 1 species